rnacentral:tRNA from 1 species
GCCUGGGUGGCUCAGCGGUUGAGCAUCUGCCUUCAGCUCAGAGCAUGAUCCCUGGGUGCAGAGAUCGAGUCCUGCAUCAGGCU